GGCCGCCUGGCGAAAUGGCAUCGCGUCUGACUACGAUGACACGGCGAUCAGGAGAUUGCAGGUUCGACCCCUGCGGUGGUCA